GGAGAGAUGGCCGAGUGGUUGAAGGCGCCGCUCUCGAAAAGCGGUAAGCCCGCAAGGGCUUCGUGGGUUCGAAUCCCACUCUCUCCGCCA
rnacentral:tRNA from 1 species